GCCCGCUUAGCUCAGUGGUAGAGCGCGUCACUAGUACCUCCUGCGAACAGCAGACGGCUUUAAGCCAUGACGAGGUCGGUUGUUCGAUCCAGCCAGUGGGCA
rfam:Malassezia sympodialis ATCC 42132 genomic scaffold, msy_sf_1